rnacentral:rRNA from 1 species
AACGUAGGACGCAAGCGUUAUCCGGAGUUACUGGGCGUAAAGCGCGGGCAGGCGGCUCGAUGCGUCUGAUGUGAAAUCUCCUCGCUCAACGGGGAGAGGCCAUUGGAAACGGUCGGGCUGGAGGGCAGUAGAGGCAGGCGGAAUUCCGGGUGGAGUGGUGAAAUGCGUAGAGAUCCGGAGGAACACCAGAGGCGAAGGCGGCCUGCUGGGCUGCACCUGACGCUGAGCCGCGAAAGCGUGGGGAGCAAACAGG